GGAUCCAGACUUUGAUCAUGGCUCAGGACGAACGCUGGCGGCGCGCCUAACACAUGCAAGUCGAACGGAGCUGAGAGGAGCUUGCUUUUCUUAGCUUAGUGGCGAACGGGUGAGUAACGCGUGAGUAACCUGCCCUGGAGUGGGGGACAACAGUUGGAAACGACUGCUAAUACCGCAUAAGCCCACGGAUCCGCAUGGAUCUGCGGGAAAAGGAUUUAUUCGCUUCAGGAUGGACUCGCGUCCAAUUAGCUAGUUGGUGAGGUAACGGCCCACCAAGGCGACGAUUGGUAGCCGGACUGAGAGGUUGAACGGCCACAUUGGGACUGAGACACGGCCCAGACUCCUACGGGAGGCAGCAGUGGGGGAUAUUGCACAAUGGGGGAAACCCUGAUGCAGCGACGCCGCGUGGAGGAAGAAGGUUUUCGGAUUGUAAACUCCUGUCGUUAGGGACGAUAAUGACGGUACCUAACAAGAAAGCACCGGCUAACUACGUGCCAGCAGCCGCGGUAAAACGUAGGGUGCAAGCGUUGUCCGGAAUUACUGGGUGUAAAGGGAGCGCAGGCGGACCGGCAAGUUGGAAGUGAAAACUAUGGGCUCAACCCAUAAAUUGCUUUCAAAACUGCUGGCCUUGAGUAGUGCAGAGGUAGGUGGAAUUCCCGGUGUAGCGGUGGAAUGCGUAGAUAUCGGGAGGAACACCAGUGGCGAAGGCGACCUACUGGGCACCAACUGACGCUGAGGCUCGAAAGCAUGGGUAGCAAACAGGAUUAGAUACCCUGGUAGUCCAUGCCGUAAACGAUGAUUACUAGGUGUUGGAGGAUUGACCCCUUCAGUGCCGCAGUUAACACAAUAAGUAAUCCACCUGGGGAGUACGACCGCAAGGUUGCAACUCAAAGGAAUUGACGG
rnacentral:rRNA from 1 species